CCAUUAUUGCACAAGAAGAAGAAGAAGAAGCAUUAUUAACCAAUAAGUCAACAAAAGCACCAACAAUAUAACCAUGGUUAGUUUUGCAAUUAAGCUUCAAGUAACAAGUCAAAAGCUGUUCAAGAUUCUCCCAAUCUUGAAUCCCAUGAGCUUCCACCAUUUCUUCCAUUGAUUUUCUAAAAUCCACAAAAGGGUCCUUUGAAUCCAAUGCCAUUACUACACUCUCCUUGAAGUACAAAUUACCUUCAUCUUCAUUAAUAUUCUUGUUGGCUUCUUCAAGAAUAAUGGAACUUGUCUUUUCUGGCUCAAAAAAUAGUCUCUCUUUUUCUAAUCUCAGCCCUCUAAUAAUUGUCUCUAUGUAAUCUUGAUGACCAAUAGAGAGGUCUGAAGCAUCAAUAGUAGUAUUAGAAAAGCUUCUUUCAGAUUCACUGAAGAACUCAUGAUCAACCUGAUAAGUAGAGUUUAGGGUCUUGAAAAUGUUUUCUUCUGCUUCUGCUUCUGCCUCUGCUCUAAAAGAGACGGUUUUAGGUUUCCCACAAGCUGGCAGUGGCCAUGCCCAAUAUGGAGAAUAAGAUGAACUACUUUCUGUUGAGGUUUUGAAGAGAGAAGAGAGCUUCAUUUUUUCUUUCUUUUCUUCUAUGAGAGAGGAGAACUAACUCUUCAAAUUUGAAUACUUGGUUUUGAUGGGUAAAAAUUUAUGACACCUUUUUCUUUUCCUUUUUUGUUUUUGGGUUUUGGUUUUUUCUUUUUCUAUCUAUGUUGGUUGUGAAUCCGAAUAUGAAAGUGAGUUCUUUAUUAUGCGACGAUAUUUGAUUGGAUAUAAUUUUUAAUAAAUAGGAUAAAAGUAUUUCAAUUUUAGGACAUAUAAGAUAAUUGUGUCAUAUAAAUUUGGUAAAAAAAUACUACUACUACUUUGUUAUUGUGGAAGGCAAUUAAUGCUAGGCAGAGUUUGUUGUUCAAAACAUAUGAUUCUAAAGUAGUGGUAAUUAAAAGAAGUUGACUGGUGGGGUAUCCUAUAUUUAUAUAUUACAUAUACACGUUAUAUUUUAUAAGUAACUGAAUUAAAUACACGUUCAGUAGGAUCAGAAGGUCCCAUCUUGUAACGUAUUAAAAAAAUUUAAUAUAGUGGUACUGCUAUUAAAUGGAGUAUCAGAUUCAGAGUUUUAAUUGCAGUUUAAAUAAAAGGAAUUCAAAUAUGUUGGCUACCUGAGUAUUUUAUAAAAGUUUGCAUUUUCUCGUGGGCCUUGCAUAUCUUUACAUAAAUAAUUGGGCGGAUUCAUUGCCUAACUAAUAUACAUAUACUAUAUACUAUUAUAUAUGAUUAUAUAUAUAAAUUAUAUUUAUAUUAUAUAUUUAUCGAUUAUUUUUAAUUUAAACCGUUGGACGGUUGAUUAUUUUCAUUAAUUAUUUUUGUUUCGUUUUGUAGUUAUUCUAACAGUCCGUCCAGAUUUUAGUAUAUGCUUACAAACUCUAUGCUGCUACACUUGACAGCUUAUUCAGUUAUUCUUACUUCAAUUCAUGAAAUUCCAAUCUUUUUCUUUCCUAUUCUUUGUUUUCCCCCUUUCUCUGCGGCAAUUAUAUAACUUUACAAUAGUCAAUGCUUAAAAGUCUUCAGAAAGGAGGUCUCAGAUAGUCAAACUUUUCUAGUAAAUUUGAGCGAAAGUGAUAUUAUCCCAAUAGUUCUCAUUUUAUGAUAGCGUAAAACCAUGCAAGGUUUCUGUUUGUAUUUUACUCUGAUAUGAUGUUUUAUAUCCAAACCAAAUUAUAGCUCUUCCCAAGAUUAUCCUUUUAACAGUUUCUUGAAAAUAAUAAUAACCAUAUAUGCGAUUUAGGAUUUUAACCUAAGUCAAUUUGAAGUGUCAUUAUACUACAUGCUAAUUUAUGGCAAUGUUUGCGUGCUUAAUUUAACAUAUAUUUACUCUUUUUGAAAAAGUUCAACAAUAUAUUUGAGUUUAAGUCAAGGGCAGUAUGUGCACACGCUGUCAACAUACUAAAUUCGCCACUGCUAGGUUCAUGACUUAACAAACAAUUCUUAAAUAUACAGGGAUGUGGUAGUGCGGAUGCGCAGGGCGGAGCUAGAGUGCGUAGAGCGGAUUCGAUUGAACCUACUAGUUUUUGUUCGAACCUUGUAUUUGUCUUAAAAUUUUUAGUGAAUAUGUACAAAUUAUUAAUUUAAAAUCCAGUAAUAACAUCAAACGAUUAAAACCCCGAACCCAUAAACUUGAAAUUCUGGCUCCGCCUCUACGAAUGUGAUUCCUUUUGAGAACGAAAUAUAUUCCGGUUGAGAGCGCUUCCACCUUUCGGUGGACCCUACAUCCGAGCUAAUCAAUUUAGUGGGUGCCGGAUGCUGGGUUAUACCCAAAAAAAAAAACUUAAAUGUUUCUUUUUUGAAUUCUUUUAUUGUGAGAGAUUGAUGGAGCUAUUUUGAAAUGAUAUUGUUUCUUUUACCUACUAAGAUAAGAAUGCACUCCAUUGUUAUCAACUAAAAUUUUGUUUCUUUGAUCCGAUUUUUUCGUUUUUCUUAAUUUAUAACAACUAACAAAUUCAAAAAAUUCUAUUUUCGAAAGCAAAGCUUUGAAUAGUCUUCAAUGGUGGAUUUCUACUCUUCAAUUUUCUUACAUUGCAACCAGGUGACACAGGGUAAGAAGCAACAAUGACGGACGGCCCCUUGAAGCAUAUGGAGAAGAUGUGAGAAGAAGAAAGAGUAAAAAUAAUGGUUAUGAGAACACAUAUUUAACUCUAUAACUUUUAGAAGCAAUGAUUGUAAGAACAAAGUUUUGAAUUUGUUAGUACUUUCAAAAUAUGUACAAUAGGAAUUAGGUUGGGUAAAACUUAAAAAUAUGAGCCAUUUUUUUGUUAUGGUGUGAGGUCAUGUGUAUUUUCUUGUAAUUCUUUCCUUUAUUAAACAGUGAGGUCUUUUUCCCCC
rnacentral:lncRNA from 1 species